GUUUGAACCGCAUGGUUCAAACAUAAAAAGGUGGCUUCGGCUACCACUUACAGAUGGACCCGCGGCGCAUCAGCUAGUUGGUGAGGUAACGGCUCACCAAGGCAACGAUGCGUAGCCGACUGAGAGGGUGAUCGGCCACACUGGGACUGAGACACGGCCCAGACUCCUACGGGAGGCAGCAGUAGGGAAUCUUCCGCAAUGGACGAAAGUCUGACGGAGCAACGCCGCGUGAGUGAUGAAGGUUUUCGGAUCGUAAAGCUCUGUUGUUAGGGAAGAACAAGUACCGUUCGAAUAGGGCGGUACCUUGACGGUACCUAACCAGAAAGCCACGGCUAACUACGUGCCAGCAGCCGCGGUAAUACGUAGGUGGCAAGCGUUGUCCGGAAUUAUUGGGCGUAAAGGGCUCGCAGGCGGUUUCUUAAGUCUGAUGUGAAAGCCCCCGGCUCAACCGGGGAGGGUCAUUGGAAACUGGGGAACUUGAGUGCAGAAGAGGAGAGUGGAAUUCCACGUGUAGCGGUGAAAUGCGUAGAGAUGUGGAGGAACACCAGUGGCGAAGGCGACUCUCUGGUCUGUAACUGACGCUGAGGAGCGAAAGCGUGGGGAGCGAACAGGAUUAGAUACCCUGGUAGUCCACGCCGUAAACGAUGAGUGCUAAGUGUUAGGGGGUUUCCGCCCCUUAGUGCUGCAGCUAACGCAUUAAGCACUCCGCCUGGGGAGUACGGUCGCAAGACUGAAACUCAAAGGAAUUGACGGGGGCCCGCACAAGCGGUGGAGCAUGUGGUUUAAUUCGAAGCAACGCGAAGAACCUUACCAGGUCUUGACAUCCUCUGACAAUCCUAGAGAUAGGACGUCCCCUUCGGGGGCAGAGUGACAGGUGGUGCAUGGUUGUCGUCAGCUCGUGUCGUGAGAUGUUGGGUUAAGUCCCGCAACGAGCGCAACCCUUGAUCUUAGUUGCCAGCAUUCAGUUGGGCACUCUAAGGUGACUGCCGGUGACAAACCGGAGGAAGGUGGGGAUGACGUCAAAUCAUCAUGCCCCUUAUGACCUGGGCUACACACGUGCUACAAUGGACAGAACAAAGGGCAGCGAAACCGCGAGGUUAAGCCAAUCCCACAAAUCUGUUCUCAGUUCGGAUCGCAGUCUGCAACUCGACUGCGUGAAGCUGGAAUCGCUA
rnacentral:rRNA from 2 species